UGCCUCGGCCUCACUGUCGCUCCACAUCAUCGGCCCAGGAUUUCCCGCCGGUGCCUCUCUCCAGGCGGCUGCCAUGACAAACCUGUCCCGCAGCCUUCUCUUCUGUCCAUGUCAUCGGUGCAAGGUCUCUCGCAGGUCACUCCGGUCCUUCGGAGCUCCUCCGUCAGCCGAGGACCUCCUGGGCUUCCAGGACUGACUCACUUCCGCAAAGAUUCAUCCCUGAACUGCAAUCUCCACGUGUCUGGCUUUAUCAGAAGAUUCGUUGUUGAGAGCAGGGAUGUGGAAAUACAACCCCUCAGACAUUACUGACCUGCCUAAGUUGGAGUAGAGUCUUGAUCUCAC